rnacentral:rRNA from 1 species
CACGUAGGGCGCGAGCGUGUCCGGAAUUAUUGGGCGUAAAGAGCUCGUAGGCGGCCUGUUGCGUCCGCUGUGAAAGCCCCGGGGGCUUAACCCCGGGUCGGCAGUGGAUACGGGCAGGCUAGAGGUAGGUAGGGGAGAAUGGAAUUCCCGGUGUAGCGGUGAAAUGCGCAGAUAUCGGGAGGAACACCGGUGGCGAAGGCGGUUCUCUGGGCCUUACCUGACGCUGAGGAGCGAAAGCGUGGGGAGCGAACGG